AUUGAACGCUGGCGGCGUGCUUAACACAUGCAAGUCGAACGAAGCGGCGGAAGGGUGAGUAAUGCCUAGGAAUCUGCCUGGAAGUGGGGGAUAACGUCCGGUAACGGGUGGUAAUACUGCCUACUACCAGAAGAGCAUAGGUGGGAUUAGCUAGUUGGUGGGGUAAAGGCCUACCAAGGCGACGCUCCGUAACUGGUCUGAGAGGAUGAUCAGUCACACUGGAACUGAGACACGGUCCAGACUCCUACGGGGGGCAGCAGUGGGGAAUAUUGGACAAUGGGCGAAAGCCUGAUGCAGCCAUGCCGCGUGUGUGAGGAAGGUCUUCGGAUUGUAAAGCACUUUGAGUUGGGAGGCGUUACCAACAGAAUAAGCACCGGCUAACUACGUGCCAGCAGCCGCGGUAAUAC
rnacentral:rRNA from 1 species